UCACAGGCAAAAUGCCUUUGAAGAUGUUUCUAUAAAGAAUGUGGUUUUCAGAGUCUCCUGAAGUAUGCAGUGCUUUCUGGAAAUGCAUAUCCCUCGUUUCUCUGCCUAACAUGGCAGAGUCAGGUCUUGGCUGCAGACCAGUUUAACAACCGCCAGGUGAUCUGGAUUCAGACAACAUGCCAGCUGUCAGAUGGAGGGAAGCAGGAAACUUUGGCAUCACUAUUCCAGACACCUUCCCUGCGAAGGCCCUAUAAAUAGCAUAAUAGGAUAAAACCAGCCACAGAGAGAUCGCGGCAGGUGGCACUCGUCCUACCCAGCACUGGAGGAGUAAAUGAAUUUCAGUGUCUUCAUGAUACCAAACAACAAUAAGAUUACAGAGAAUGAAGCUUUUGUGAUGAGAGAGCCCAACAUUUGAAAUUUUGAAUGACCUGAGAAUAUAGAAGACUUCGCUUCCAACGUGCUCUGAGAGAGUCCAACUUAUCUUUGGAUUCAUAACUGAAUAUUGUGCCUUAAUCGAGGACAACGUGCCCACACAUUCCGAACCAGCAUGGGAAGAGGGACUCCCACCAACCCCAGCGACAGGAAAUGCAAGCCCAGAACGGAUGGAUCCUCUAGGCACCUGGGUUCCAGAGUAACGAGAGCCCCCUAGCAACCCAAACUACAGAGCCUGUAAUGUGUGUGGGAAAGCUUUGCCAGUAUGGAGAGGCAGAGGGGUGUUCCUGCGCUUGCUGCAGGGCAUGUACUGAAGGCAGAACUUUCCAGCUACCGGGAACCAGACGCUGGGGGACCAGUUUAGAUUGCAAGGAAGAAAGUAAGUCACCAAGUAUGCAAGAUGACAGCUGAAGAGGCCCUGAGAUAGAAAGACAUACUGUCUGAAUCCUGCUCCCUACACACUUGAAGCUACUGUAAGAUUUGCUGUCCUAAGCGCUAUCACCAGAGGAUCAGCAUUUUCUCCUUUUAUGACAAAAUAACCGGACCUAUUCAAGUCCACUAGCCAAACCAGCCAUCUGCAUAAGAGUUGGCAGUCUUCCUCCUGAGGAAUCCUGUCCUACGACACAUUCAGCUCAGUGGCCUCACCUGUCUCCCUGAGAAGUGUGUAAUUUUACACCAAAUUCAGUCUUCCUACUUUUGGGACAUUAUUAAUGAAUAUAAAAGAUCCCACUCACUUCUUCAUUUCCGGUAUGGUUUUAGCACCCAGAGGACAGCAGACCAAAAUGAUCCCAUUAAAAUGGUCAAUGACCUAUUUUUUUCCCUUUUAAUAUAGGAGAGGCCCCUCUAAUGUGUAUUUUUACCCCACUGGAUUGCUCCUUUGUGAGCCUCAUUAUAGAUC